UACGGGGGGGCAAGCGUUGUUCGGAAUUACUGGGCGUAAAGGGCUCGUAGGCGGCCAACUAAGUCAGACGUGAAAUCCCCAGGCUCAACCUGGGAACUGCGUCUGAUACUGGUUGGCUUGAAUCCGGGAGAGGGAUGCAGAAUUCCAGGUGUAGCGGUGAAAUGCGUAGAUAUCAGGAGGAACACCGGUGGCGAAGGCGGCUCUCUGGACGGUGACUGACGCUGAGACGCGAAAGCGUGGGGAGCAAACAGG
rnacentral:rRNA from 1 species